GGUAUUGAAAUAAGAUUUUAAUUGAAUGCUAAGAGAACGGAAGUCCAGAAAAAAACUUUUUUUAAAUUAAAAAUUGAAGUUUUUUUAAUUUGUGCAGAAACAAUUAUUUAUAUUAAAGACAAGAAGACCCUAUGAAUUUAUUAAAUUUUUAUUUAAUAUGUAAUUACUAUUAGAAAAAUUUUGGCUGGGGCGGCUAGAAAAUAUUAUAAACUUUUUAAAAAUAAAAUGAUCCAUUAUUAAUGAUUUUAUGUUAAAUACUCUAGGGAUAACAGCGUUAUAUUUUUUGAUAGAUCAUAUUGACAAAAAAGUUUGCGACCUCGAUGUUGGAUUAGGAUACUUUUUUAAUGAAGAUAUUAAAAAAAGAAG
rnacentral:rRNA from 1 species